rnacentral:rRNA from 1 species
UACGUAGGGCGCAAGCGUUAUCCGGAAUUAUUGGGCGUAAAGAGCUCGUAGGCGGUUUGUCGCGUCUGCCGUGAAAGUCCGGGGCUCAACUCCGGAUCUGCGGUGGGUACGGGCAGACUAGAGUGAUGUAGGGGAGACUGGAAUUCCUGGUGUAGCGGUGAAAUGCGCAGAUAUCAGGAGGAACACCGAUGGCGAAGGCAGGUCUCUGGGCAUUAACUGACGCUGAGACGCGAAAGCGUGGGGAGCGAACCGG